UACGGAGGGUGCAAGCGUUGUCCGGAAUCACUGGGCGUAAAGGGCGCGUAGGCGACUCAUGAAGGCUGUGGUGAAAGUCCGGGGCUCAACCUCGGAUCGGCCGUGGCGACUCGUGGGCUGGAGCACUGUAGAGGCGGGUGGAAUUCCGGGUGUAGCGGUGGAAUGCGUAGAGAUCCGGAAGAACACCAGUGGCGAAGGCGGCCCGCUGGGCAGUGGCUGACGCUGAGGCGCGACAGCGUGGGGAGCAAACAGG
rnacentral:rRNA from 1 species